AUGAACGCUAGCGACAGGCUUAACACAUGCAAGUCGAGGGGCAGCAUAAAAGUAGCAAUACUUGGUGGCGACCGGCGCACGGGUGAGUAACGCGUAUGCAACCUACCUAUCAGAGGGGAAUAACCCGGCGAAAGUCGGACUAAUACCGCAUAAAACAGGGACACCGCAUGGUGAUAUUUGUUAAAGAAAUUCGCUGAUAGAUGGGCAUGCGUUCCAUUAGGUAGUUGGUGAGGUAGCGGCUCACCAAGCCGACGAUGGAUAGGGGAACUGAGAGGUUGGUCCCCCACACUGGUACUGAGACACGGACCAGACUCCUACGGGAGGCAGCAGUGAGGAAUAUUGGUCAAUGGGCGAGAGUCUGAACCAGCCAAGUCGCGUGCAGGAAGAAUGUCCUAUGGAUUGUAAACUGCUUUUGCAGGGGAAUAAAGUGCAUCACGUGUGAUGUUUUGUAUGUACUCUGCGAAUAAGGAUCGGCUAACUCCGUGCCAGCAGCAGC
rnacentral:rRNA from 1 species